ACUCAAUAGAUACCCAGGUAGUCCACGCCCUAAACGAUGUCUACUAGUUGUUGGUGGAGUAAAAUCCAUGAGUAAACGCAGCUAACGCGUGAAGUAGACCGCCUGGGGAGUACGGUCGCAAGAUUAAAACUCAAAUGAAUUGACGGGGGCCCGCACAAGCGGUGGAUUAUGUGGAUUAAUUCGAUGCAACGCGAAGAACCUUACCUGGCCUUGACAUGUAACGAACUUUCCAGAGAUGGAUUGGUGCUCGAAAGAGAGCGUUAACACAGGUGCUGCAUGGCUGUCGUCAGCUCGUGUCGUGAGAUGUUGGGUUUAAGUCCCGCAACGAGCGCAACCCUUGCCAUUAAUUGCCAUCAUUUAGUUGGGCACUUUAAUGGGACUGCCGGUGACAAACCGGAGGAAGGUGGGGAUGACGUCAAGUCCUCAUGGCCCUUAUGGCCAGGGCUUCACACGUAAUACAAUGGUCGGUACAGAGAGUUGCCAACCCGCGAGGGGGAGCCAAUCUCAGAAAGCCGAUCGUAGUCCGGAUUGUAGU
rnacentral:rRNA from 1 species